ACUCCUGCGGGAGGCAGCAGUGGGGAAUUUUGGACAAUGGGCGAAAGCCUGAUCCAGCAAUGCCGCGUGCAGGAUGAAGGCCUUCGGGUUGUAAACUGCUUUUGUACGGAACGAAAAAGCUCCUUCUAAUACAGGGGGCCCAUGACGGUACCGUAAGAAUAAGCACCGGCUAACUACGUGCCAGCAGCCGCGGUAAUACGUAGGGUGCGAGCGUUAAUCGGAAUUACUGGGCGUAAAGCGUGCGCAGGCGGUUAUGUAAGACAGAUGUGAAAUCCCCGGGCUCAACCUGGGAACUGCAUUUGUGACUGCAUGGCUAGAGUACGGUAGAGGGGGAUGGAAUUCCGCGUGUAGCAGUGAAAUGCGUAGAUAUGCGGAGGAACACCGAUGGCGAAGGCAAUCCCCUGGACCUGUACUGACGCUCAUGCACGAAAGCGUGGGGAGCAAACAGGAUUAGAAACCCGGGUAGUCCCAUGAU
rnacentral:rRNA from 1 species